rnacentral:rRNA from 1 species
UUUGAGAUUCAUCAAUAAGCGGAGGAAAAGAAACCAACAGGGAUUGCCCUAGUAACGGCGAGUGAACAGGCAAGAGCUCAGAUUUGAAAGGCACUUUUGUGCCGUUGUAUUCUGAAGUUAGGGUCCUGAGAAACGAUGCUUAAGUCUUCUGGAAAGGAGCGCCAUGGAGGGUGAUAGCCCCGUCUAGCAUUGACCUCAUAUAGGAUCUUAACAUGGAGUCGAGUUGUUUGGGAAUGCAGCUCAAAUGGGUGGUAUGCUCCAUCUAAAGCUAAAUAUCUGCGAGAGACCGAUAGUAAACAAGUACUGUGAGGGAAAGAUGAAAAGAACUUUGAAAAGAGAGUGAAAAAGUACGUGAAAUUGUUGAAAUGGAAGGGUAGGCCGCUAACCAUGUAGAGCCGUGUUUGGGGGGAAGAUAAAUGCUGUAGAAUGUAGCUCCUCGGAGUAUUAUAGAUGCAGUUCAUAUUCCCACCCGAGCGCGAGAUCUCAUGUUCCACUAAAACUGGUGUA